rnacentral:lncRNA from 1 species
GAGCUGGCUUCAGAUAGCUUCCUCUAAGUAUCUACAUCAUAUGGUCUACGGAGCCUAUGCAUAUUCAUACUUAAGAUAUAGGAUAAUGUUUUCCGGAAAUUCUAUUGAGUCAAACAAUUUGUUAUGUUAAGAAAAGGAUUGUAAGGACAAUGUUCAAUCUGAAGCCCAAAGAUUCCUAUAAACAAAUUUUAACAUUUUCCUAAAUUUGUUAAAGUUUAUCCUCCUGAGUCCUGGGUGAAUUUGAUAGCUAAGACCGAAAUGCCUUGUACAAGUACAUGUAUGCAUUAGCCUUUGAGACCUGAACAGUUUUGUCCUCCUAUAGUAGCCAAGACCGGAGUGCUUUGUACAAGUCACGAAAACAAAAAAAAAACCUUGUCACUCUAAUAGUUCAUUAACUCAACACAAGAUAGCAGCACUGGAUGGACUGUGUUUCAAACUACCCUAAUAGUUUGCUAAAGUUGCGAUAGAUGGCACUACUUGUUUCUUAUCCAUGCAGUCUCAAAGUAAUUUAAAAAAAAAUUUUUUUCUCAAAAAAUUUUAAAAUAUUGACAGUCGUAUCACUCUACAUAAGAGAAGUAAUCUUCCACACUGUAAAAACAUCACAGCCAAGACACUCAGAUCUGCACCAGCACAACACUAGACAUGCCUCGGACUUCGCAUUGCCCCCACACCAUCUGAGCCUAUACAAGAGGAAACCAUCCUAUAAAGGAGCCGCCUACUUCAACCACCUUCCAGAGCACUUAAAGAACCAACCACCUCACCGCUUCAAGAAACAACUGACUCUGUGGCUCCAAGAGAGACCUUUUUACACAGAAGAAGAAUUUACAAACAGCUAAAAAUUGUUACCUUAUACCUGUAUAACUGACGCUAUGUACUGUUCUCAAAGAACAUGUCAAUAAAGUAUAUUGUCUAUUGUCUAUUGUCUAUUGUCAAAGAUGAACACCCCUGCAGAAAAAAACUGCUCGUGUUACACGCUCAGGUAAGACAGUAUUCAUAAUUAUUUAAUUGAUAUUUCUUCACAAAUUACAUGUUUAAGGACCAAUCUAUCUAUUAAAGUUAUUAUAAUGGUGUUAGCUUUGUGUUUCACAUGGCUAGAGUGAGGUAUUCUUAGAGUACCUUGACUGAGGCACUUAGGUCUACAAACUAAAAUCACAAUUUUCUUCAGUGGCUUGACCAAGCCACUUGGGUCUUACUUACUUAUGUCAAUAACUACAACUGUUGCAUACUUGGAGCAAGAAAUUUUAUAUUUUGAUUUAUUUUUAGAUAAAUAAAAUAAAAAUUUGACCUUAAAUUUAAGAAAAUAAUCAAGUAAAAAUAUCUAUCUAUCCCAAUUACAGCACAAAUUUUAUAUUUUGCUUUUUUCAGUGAAGAGAAAGAGGUUUGAAGACUUCAACCUAGAUGACUCUAAUAUAGAUGACUAUCUAAAAGACGAUGAUGGGGAAGAUUCACUGUUAAAUCCAGAGUCCGACUACUACAAUUUUGAUGAUCUGUUUGGCGAUGACUCAGACGUAGAUCCGCCCUACGUACCAUCCGAAGGAAGUCAUUACGACGACGACGAGCAUGAGCUGUUCCCUCAACCUCAAUAACAACGGAAGUGGCAAAGAAGAAAUCUAAAACCGACUCACGUAAGAAAAUACUGCCAAAGAAACAGAAGAAAGAUGUUCAGCCAGGUUUACCUUGGGCAAUGCAAGUGUUCGCUCCUGAAACAUCCACACUUGUCCAGCCUGCGUUCUUACCCAUAGAUUCUAGUGAUUGGGAUGCAGAGAAGUAUGUACAGCAAUACUAUGAUGAUGAAAUACUGUCCAUCAUUGUUGACAAAAGUAACCAAAACUACCUUUUAAAAACAGAUAAAGAAUUGAAAUUGAAACUUUCAGAGCUUAAAGUAUGGUUAGGGAUUAAUUUUGUGAUGUCAUCUCUCCAGUUACCUAAGAUUAGAAGGUAUUGGGAACAAAUGUGGAGAGUGCCUCUAGUUGCUGAUUCCAUGACCAGAGACAGAUUUUUUUAAAUUCAAUGCUCAUUAAAAGUGGUUUUUGACAAUGAUAUUUCUGAGGAACAAAAAAAAGGUGACAGGCUUUACAAGGUGAGACCUUUCCUUGAUAGAAUUCUUGAAGGAUGUAUGAGACAAAGAAGGGAACGAGAAGUUUAUGUUGAUGAAAUGAUGGUACCUUUUACAGGUUUUUGCCUUUCAAAGCAAUACGUACCAAACAAGCCAAACCUGUUGGUCUAAAAGUAUAUGUUUUAGCGAAUUCUAAUGGAAUUGUAUGUGACUUUACAGUAUAUGCAGGGCCUAAGACAUAUACCACUGAUGAAUCAUUGAACGAAUUUUGGCAGUGUGAAAAUGCAGUGCUACACCUGACUAGAUCACUCGUUCCAGGACAUGUGGUGUACAUUGAUAGAUUUUUUACUACAGUCAGACUGGCUGAUGAACUUUACAAAUGUGGCAUUAGGUGCUCAGGAACAAUACAAAAAGACAGGAUUCCCCCAACCACAAAUCUCCCUGAUGAUAAAUCUUUUAAGAAGAACAAUUCUAGAGGUGAAAGCAUAGUGACUGUGAGACAAGACGGAAUCAUGGCUAUAACUAAAUGGUUGGAUAACAAUACUGUAACAAUGAUGUCCACUGAAGAGGCCAAAGAUCCAAUUUUUGAAGUACGGAGAUGGUCCAAAAGCCAAAAGCAGUUUAUAAUUAUUGAUCAGCCCAAGGUUAUUCAUCUAUACAAUCGGAAUAUUGGAGGAGUCGAUCUAGCUGAUCGUAUGAUGGCAUACUGCCCCUCUCGAGCUAGGACCAAAAAGUGGACAGUUCGAUGUAUUUUUACAUUUUUUUUUAUUUUUAAAUGUCUAAUGCUAGGCUUCAAAUGCGUCAAAUAAAACAGACGCUCAAUACUCCUACUAGGUUAAUUCCACAGUACCGAACUUUUAAACUAGAAUUCGGACAGACACUGAUUGAAAAUAACGAUGGUACUUGUACUAAGGCUGGAGUUCAAAUCAAAAACCAUGGAAAAGCCAUCCCUUAACUUUCAGUCAUUUAACUGAUCGUAGAACCAUUGAAGAUCCAUCUCUUCGGCGUCGAACUCAAGGAGCUGAUCAUCUCCCAGAAAUAGCAAGUGUACAGAAACGAUGUGCUCAGAAAAACUGCAAAAUGAAGUCACAUGUGUACUGUAUUCAGUGCAAUGUUUUCUUAUGUAUCAUUGAGGGUAGAAAUUGUUUUAGAAAAUAUCAUUCUGCUUAGUAAUUUUACAACUAAGAACUCAAAAACUAUUGUGUUCUGCUCUAUGAAUACUGUAUUCUUACAUCUAACGUAUCUAAUUUAUAUAAAUAAAAAGAAAGUUUUCUUUU